rnacentral:tRNA from 1 species
CAGAUCUUAGUUAAAUCUAUAAUAUAAGCUUGUCAGGCUUAAGUUGGUAACAGAUCUGC